GACGUAGGUGGCGAACGUUAUCCGGAAUUAUUGGGCGUAAAGGGUGCGUAGGCGGCAUGAUAAGUUAUUGGCGGCAAAUCGAGGCUCAACCUCGUGGAAACUGAUAAUACUGUCUUGCUUGAGUGCAGAAGAGGUUAACGGAACUCCAUGUGGAGCGGUAAAAUGUGUAGAUAUAUGGAAGAACAUCAAUAACGGCGAAGGCAGUUAACUAUUCUGUUACUGACGUUGGGGCACGAAAGCGUGGGGAGCAAAAAGG
rnacentral:rRNA from 1 species